rnacentral:rRNA from 1 species
GAUGAACGCUGGCGGCGUGCCUAAUACAUGCAAGUCGAGCGAACGGACGAGAAGCUUGCUCCCCUGCUGUUAGCGGCGGACGGGCGAGUAACACGUGGAUAACCUUCCUAUAAGACUGGGAUAACUUCGGGAAACCGUAGCUAAUACCGGAUAAUAUUUUGAACCGCAUGGUUCAAAAGUGAAAGACGGUCUUGCUGUUACUUAUAGAUGGAUCCGCGCUGCAUUAGCUAGUUGGUAAGGUAACGGCUUACCAAGGCAACGAUGCAUAGCCGACCUGAGAGGGUGAUCGGCCACACUGGAACUGAGACACGGUCCAGACUCCUACGGGAGGCAGCAGUAGGGAAUCUUCCACAAUGGGCGAAAGCCUGACGGAGCAACGCCGCGUGAGUGAUGAAGGUCUUCGGAUCGUAAAACUCUGUUAUUAGGGAAGAACAGAUGUGUAAGUAACUGUGCACAUCUUGACGGUACCUAAUCAGAAAGCCACGGCUAACUACGUG